CACAUCACGAAAGUCAGCUGCUCUUGAAGUCGCCGAGCUAACCCGCAAGGGAGGCAGGCGCCGACAGAGUGGCUGGCGAUUGGGGUG
rnacentral:rRNA from 1 species